rnacentral:rRNA from 1 species
UACGUAGGGUGCAAGCGUUGUCCGGAAUUAUUGGGCGUAAAGAGCUCGUAGGCGGUUUGUUGCGUCGGCUGUGAAAUCCCGAGGCUCAACCUCGGGUCUGCAGUCGAUACGAGCAAACUAGAGUGUUGCAGGGGAGACUGGAAUUCCUGGUGUAGCGGUGAAAUGCGCAGAUAUCGGGAGGAACACCGGUGGCGAAGGCGGGUCUCUGGGCAUGUCCUGACGCUGAGGAGCGAAAGUGUGGGGAGCGAACAGG